GACGAACGCUGGCGGCGUGCUUAACACAUGCAAGUCGAACGGAAAGGCCCUGCUUUUGUGGGGUGCUCGAGUGGCGAACGGGUGAGUAACACGUGAGUAACCUGCCCUUGACUUUGGGAUAACUUCAGGAAACUGGGGCUAAUACCGGAUAGCAGCUCCUGCUGCAUGGUGGGGGUUGGAAAGUUUCGGCGGUUGGGGAUGGACUCGCGGCUUAUCAGCUUGUUGGUGGGGUAGUGGCUUACCAAGGCUUUGACGGGUAGCCGGCCUGAGAGGGUGACCGGCCACAUUAGGACUGAGAUACGGCCCAGACUCCAACGGGAGGCAGCAGUGGGGAAUAUUGCACAGUGGGCGGAAGCCUGAUGCAGCAACGCCGCGUGCGGGAUGACGGCCUUCGGGUUGUAAACCGCUUUCGCCUGUGACGAAGCGUGAGUGACGGUAAUGGGUAAAGAAGCACCGGCUAACUACGUG
rnacentral:rRNA from 1 species